rnacentral:rRNA from 1 species
CCUACGGGUGGCUGCAGUGGGGGAUAUUGCACAAUGGCGGGAACCCUGAUGCAGCGACGCCGCGUGGGUGAGGGAGUAUUUCGGUGUGUCAGACCCUAUCGGCCGGGGAGCAUUUAGACGGUACCUGACUAAGAAGCCCCGGCUAACUACGGGCCCGCAGCCGCGGUACUACGUAGGGGGCAAGCGUUAUCCGGGUUCACUGGGGGUAAAGGGAGCGUAGACGGCCAGGCGAGCCUGGGGUGAAAGCCCGGGGCCCAACCCCGGGACUGCUCUGGGACCUGUCCGCCUGGAGUGCGGGAGGGGCAGGCGGAAUGCCUGGUGUAGCGGUGAAAUGCGUAGAUAUCAGGCGGAACCCCGGCUGCGAAGGCGGCCUGCUGGACCGCGACUGACGCUGAGGCACGAAAGCGCGGGGAGCGAACAGGAUUAGAUACCCGAGUAGUC